rnacentral:rRNA from 1 species
UACGUAGGGCGCAAGCGUUGUCCGGAAUUAUUGGGCGUAAAGGGCUCGUAGGCGGUUUGUCGCGUCGGGAGUGAAAUCCACUGGCUUAACUGGUGGCUUGCUUUCGAUACGGGCAGACUGGAGGUAUGCAGGGGAGAACGGAAUUCCUGGUGUAGCGGUGGAAUGCGUAGAUAUCUGGAGGAACACCGGUGGCGAAGGCGGCAUCCUGGACCGGCAUUGACGCUGAGGCGCGAAAGCCAGGGGAGCAAAGCGGG